UUAAGUGAAUAAGGGCGCACGGUGGAUGCCUUGGCACUAGGAGCCGAUGAAGGACGGGACUAACACCGAUAUGCUUUGGGGAGCUGUAAGUAAGCUAUGAUCCAGAGAUUUCCGAAUGGGGGAACCCAAUAUCUUUUAUAGGAUAUUACUUUUCAGUGAAUACAUAGCUGAUUAGAGGUAGACGCAGAGAACUGAAACAUCUUAGUACCUGCAGGAAGAGAAAGAAAAUUCGAUUCCCUGAGUAGCGGCGAGCGAAACGGGAAGAGCCCAAACCAACAAGCUUGCUUGUUGGGGUUGUAGGACUCCAAUAUGGUAGUCUGUUAGUAUAGUUGAAGGAUUUGGAAAAUUCCGCUAAAGAGGGUGAAAGCCCCGUAGACGAAAUGCUAACAACACCUAGGAGGAUCCUGAGUACGGCGGAACACGAGAAAUUCCGUCGGAAUCCGCGGGGACCAUCCCGCAAGGCUAAAUACUCCCUAGUGACCGAUAGUGAACCAGUACCGUGAGGGAAAGGUGAAAAGCACCCCGGAAGGGGAGUGAAAUAGAUCCUGAAACCGUGUGCCUACAACAAGUCAAAGCUCGUUAAUGAGUGAUGGCGUGCCUUUUGUAGAAUGAACCGGCGAGUUACGAUUGCAUGCGAGGUUAAGUCGAAGAGACGGAGCCGCAGCGAAAGCGAGUCUGAAUAGGGCGAAUGAGUAUGUAGUCGUAGACCCGAAACCAUGUGAUCUACCCAUGUCCAGGUUGAAGGUGCGGUAAAACGCACUGGAGGACCGAACCCACGUACGUUGAAAAGUGCGGGGAUGAGGUGUGGGUAGCGGAGAAAUUCCAAACGAACUUGGAGAUAGCUGGUUCUCUCCGAAAUAGCUUUAGGGCUAGCGUCGAUGUUAAGUCUCUUGGAGGUAGAGCACUGUUUGGGUGAGGGGUCCAUCCCGGAUUACCAAUCUCAGAUAAACUCCGAAUGCCAACGAGAUAUAAUCGGCAGUCAGACUGCGAGUGCUAAGAUCCGUAGUCGAAAGGGAAACAGCCCAGACCACCAGCUAAGGUCCCAAAAUAUAUGUUAAGUGGAAAAGGAUGUGGGGUUGCACAGACAACUAGGAUGUUGGCUUAGAAGCAGCCACCAUUUAAAGAGUGCGUAAUAGCUCACUAGUCGAGUGACCCUGCGCCGAAAAUGUACCGGGGCUAAACAUAUUACCGAAGCUGUGGACUACACCAUUAGGUGUAGUGGUAGGAGAGCGUUCUAAGGGCGUUGAAGGUCGAUCGUGAGGACGGCUGGAGCGCUUAGAAGUGAGAAUGCCGGUAUGAGUAGCGAAAGACAGGUGAGAAUCCUGUCCACCGUAUGACUAAGGUUUCCUGGGGAAGGCUCGUCCGCCCAGGGUUAGUCGGGACCUAAGCCGAGGCCGAUAGGCGUAGGCGAUGGACAACAGGUUGAUAUUCCUGUACCAGUUGUUUUUGUUUGAGCAAUGGAGGGACGCAGUAGGCUAAGGAAUGCAUGCGAUUGGAAGUGCAUGUCCAAGCAAUGAGUCUUGAGUAGAGUUAAAUGCUUUACUCUUUAAGGACAAGUUGUGACGGGGAGCGAAAUAAUAGUAGCGAAGUUCCUGAUGUCACACUGCCAAGAAAAGCUUCUAGUGAGAAAAUAACUGCCCGUACCGUAAACCGACACAGGUAGUCGAGGAGAGUAUCCUAAGGUGAGCGAGCGAACUCUCGUUAAGGAACUCGGCAAAAUGACCCCGUAACUUCGGGAGAAGGGGUGCUGACGACCGUCAGCCGCAGUGAAUAGGCCCAAGCGACUGUUUAUCAAAAACACAGGUCUCUGCAAAAUCGUAAGAUGAAGUAUAGGGGCUGACGCCUGCCCGGUGCUGGAAGGUUAAGAGGAUGGGUUAGCUUCGGCGAAGCUCAGAAUUGAAGCCCCAGUAAACGGCGGCCGUAACUAUAACGGUCCUAAGGUAGCGAAAUUCCUUGUCGGGUAAGUUCCG
rnacentral:rRNA from 1 species